UACGAAGGGGGCUAGCGUUUGUCCGGAAUUACUGGGCGUAAAGCGUGCGUAGUCGGUUAUCUAAGUCGGGUGUGAAAUCCCCGGGCUCAACCUGGGAAUUGCAUUCGAUACUGGAUAGCUAGAGUUCGGCAGAGGGAAGCGGAAUUUCCGGUGUAGCGGUGAAAUGCGUAGAUAUCGGAAGGAACACCUGUGGCGAAAAGCGGCGCACUGGACCACAACUGACGCUGAGGCGCGAAAGCCUAGGGGAGCAAACAGG
rnacentral:rRNA from 1 species